GAUGAACGCUAGCUACAGGCUUAACACAUGCAAGUCGUGGGGCAUCAUGAUGUAGUAAUACAUUGAUGGCGACCGGCGCACGGGUGAGUAACGCGUAUCCAACCUACCCUCCACUCAAGUAUAGGCUUCCGAAAGGGAGAUUAAUCCUUGAUAUCGUCAUUCUCUCUCCUGUUAGAAUGAUAAAAGGACAUCGUUUCGGUAGAGGAUGGGGAUGCGUUCCAUUAGGUAGUAGGUGGUUUAACAGGCCACCUAGCCGAUGAUGGAUAGGGGUUCUGAGAGGAAUAUCCCCCACACUGGUACUGAGAUACGGACCAGACUCCUACGGGAGGCAGCAGUGAGGAAUAUUGGUCAAUGGGCGCAAGCCUGAACCAGCCAUGUAGCGUGAAGGAUGACGGUUUUUUUGAUUGUAAACUUCUUUUCUGUGCGAUUAAAGUGUGGCAUUUAUGCCAUAUUGCA
rnacentral:rRNA from 1 species